rnacentral:rRNA from 1 species
GAUGAACGCUGGCGGCGUGCCUAAUACAUGCAAGUCGAGCGAACAGACGAGGAGCUUGCUCCUCUGACGUUAGCGGCGGACGGGUGAGUAACACGUGGAUAACCUACCUAUAAGACUGGGAUAACUUCGGGAAACCGGAGCUAAUACCGGAUAAUAUAUUGAACCGCAUGGUUCAAUAGUGAAAGACGGUUUUGCUGUCACUUAUAGAUGGAUCCGCGCCGCAUUAGCUAGUUGGUAAGGUAACGGCUUACCAAGGCAACGAUGCGUAGCCGACCUGAGAGGGGAGUGGGCCAACUGGAAACUGAGAAACGGCCCAGACUCCUAGGGGAGGACGCAGUAGGGAAUUUUCCGAAAGGGGCGAAAGCCGGACGGACAAACGGCGGGGGAGUGAAGAAGGUUUUCGGAUCGGAAAACUCUUUUAUUAGGGAAAAAAAAAUGUGAAAGUAACUAUGCACGUUUUGGCGGUACCUAAUAAAAAAGCCGCGGCAAACUACGU